AUGCAAUUUAACGCCGCAUUCAACAUCUGAGUAAUAAUGCACUGAUGUAAAAUGUAUCAUAGAAAAUAGGAACAGUAUCUACAAAUAUAGUGGAAACUUACAAUCUAGUGUUUCAGUUCCAGUUUCCGAUGGCACUUUCUGGAGUCGGUCAAAAAGCCUGGGCCUCUCUCACCAGUCAAUAUGCCUGGGGGGAGCUGAGGCCCGUGGGAACCUAGUCAUAGUGUCAUAGGCAAGGAUGCUACUGGCACAGGGGUACAGAAAGGGGGACAACAUCAAUGUCAGGAAAAGGGAACAUUCGAGGGUCAACCAUUUUGUUAGUCCUGUCUCUUGCUUUCAGAUCCUGCUCUUGAAGGGAGCAGCAGGCUUUUCCCAAAACACAGAGAGCAGAACCACUCC